rnacentral:misc_RNA from 1 species
ACAUUUUCGGCAAUGUUGACAAUUAUGAUGUGAUUUGUUUUAAAUUUACUAUAUUAAGUAGGAUGUAGUAACAAAAAAAUAAAAAAAUAAAUCUAAAAAAAAUGGAGAGACAAAACUAAAAUUAAAUUAGGACUAACUAAUUAUUUGCGAUUUUAAGUAAUGAAAUUACUAUGAAAAUUAAUUAUCUUCAUCUGCUUAUCCUGUAUAUGAGUAUCAGCUUGAAACUAUCUGCAUUUUUUGUUGUCCCUCCUCCAUCAUUUGCUGAGGAGCCUCAAGACACAUGGUUCUUUAACUCAUCACCAAACUCAUCAUCUAAUCUUAGUUGUGUUGCAAACCAACAUCCAGUGGCAGUUUCUUAUCAGUGGAUGUAUGAAACAGAAAUUGUGUCAAAGUUUACAAAUUUUACUCAUAUACAAGUAGAGAAGUAUGGUGCAUAUGUUUGCCUUCUUUCAAACUCUUUUGGAACAGUAAGAAGUCGCACAGCACUAGUUAAAAAACCUGUGAUUAAAUAUCAAGAAAUUAAAGAUUUUCAUAAAAACAUUAUAAAAGGUGCUUAUUUGUUUUUACCAUCUCUGGAAGUUUAUGAGAGCGUUCCACCAGUUGCUGAAAUAUUUUGGAGAAAAAAUAAUAAAUCUGAAAAGUGGGAAGUUCUUCAAAAAGAUUUAUACACAAAAAAUGGUAGUUUGCUUAUUCGAAGCGUUAAUUCUGAAGAACACAACACAAGUUUUAGUUAUAUUAUAAAACAAAAGAACGAUCACUUAGUAGUUGGCUACACUGUUACUGUUAACAUAAUAGUGAUUUCACCUGACUCAAAUCAAUGUGAAAACAUAAGUCUUGCCUUGAUAGAAAUGCCAACUAAUGUUACAGUCUAUGCUGGACAAGACAUAUCAGUUGAGUGUUUAACAUUUUUUUAUCGUUGCAGUUUUGCUCCACCUAUUACUUGGUUUUAUAAUUAUUCAAGUGUUAAAAAUGAAAUUCCAAAAGCCAAAGCUGUUCUUCAUAUUUCUAACAGCAGAUUAUCAGAUAGCGGUAACUAUAUUUGUAAAGUAACAGGAUUUAACUAUCAACUUCAAACAAUUGUAACUGUUUUAGUAAAGCCAAGUCUGAAUAUCAUAUCUGAAUCUGUAACAAUUUAUAUCAAAGAUGAUGCUCCAAUCACAUUGGAUAAAAUAGCAUUAACAUCAACUGUUGGUCUAAAAAGUUUUGAAUGGUAUUUUAAUGGAAAAUCUUUGUCUAGAAAUUCAAAAUACAAUUAUACUUUAGAUUACAAACUAAUAGUUAAUCAACCAGUUGAAUCUGAUUCUGGAAUUUAUCAAGUGUUUUAUUUUUUUGAUGGAUUUGAAUUAAAGCAUGCUUUCAAUGUAUUUUUCCUUAACGAUGAAACUAUUAAAGUUACUGACUUACUUACUUCAACAUCAACUUUAUCUAGUAAAGUUUUAACAACAAAUUUUAAAACCUUAUCCCAUUCUACUGAGGCUGUAAAAUUCUCUUCUUUAUCAUUUGUUUCUGUUUUUUCAUGGACCAAAUCACCACCACUUGUUCCUAAUAAAGAGUUCAUAAAAAAUGGAUGUUUGAAUGAAUGGAUGAUAUUUUGGGUUUAAAUAGAACUAGAAAAACAACUAAUGAAACUAAUACCAAAAGACGCUUGUUUGAUAAAUACAUUAACUUACUAACGACUUCAAGUGCAUUAAUAAUUAGCCUGUCUGUUGGAAGUGCUGUUUUGGUUAUUGGCCUGUUGAUUGGCUUAAUUAUGAG